UGGGCCCAUAGCUCAGUUGGUUAGAGCGAUCGACUCAUAAUCGACAGGUCCCAGGUUCAAGUCCUGGUGGGCCCACCAU
rnacentral:tRNA from 2 species